AACGAACGCUGGCGGCAGGCCUAAUACAUGCAAGUCGAGCGCGCCCUUCGGGGUGAGCGGCGGACGGGUGAGUAACGCGUGGGAAUAUGCCCUUCUCUAAGGAAUAGCCUCUGGAAACGGAGAGUAAUACCUUAUACGCCCUUUGGGGGAAAGAUUUAUCGGAGAAGGAUUAGCCCGCGUUAGAUUAGGUAGUUGGUGGGGUAAUGGCCUACCAAGCCUACGAUCUAUAGCUGGUUUGAGAGGAUGAUCAGCCACACUGGGACUGAGACACGGCCCAGACUCCUACGGGAGGCAGCAGUAGGGAAUCUUAGACAAUGGGGGCAACCCUGAUCUAGCCAUGCCGCGUGUGUGAUGAAGGCCCUAGGGUCGUAAAGCACUUUCGCCAGAGAUGAUAAUGACAGUAUCUGGUAAAGAAACCCCGGCUAACUCCGCGCCUGCAGCCGCGGUAAUACGGAGGGGGUUAGCGUUGUUCGGAAUUACUGGGCGUAAAGCGCACGUAGGCGGAUUAGUAAGUUAGAGGUGAAAUCCCAGGGCUCAACCCUGGAACUGCCAUUAAUACUGCUAGUCUUGAGUUCGAGAGAGGUAAGUGGAAUUCCGAGUGUAGAGGUAAAAUUCGUA
rnacentral:rRNA from 1 species